UUUGUCGGAGAGUUUGAUCCUGGCUCAGGACAAACGCUGGCGGCGUGCAUAAAACAUGCAAGUCGAACGG
rnacentral:rRNA from 1 species